AUGCUGCACCUCCCCCUACUGUAUUACCUCACGCUGCUCCCCCACCUACUGUAUUACCGCACGCUGCUCCUCCCCCUACUGUAUUACCUCAUGCUGCACCCCCUACUGUAUUACCGCACGCUGCUCCUUCCCCUACUGUAUUACCUCCCGCUGCACCUCCCCCUACUGUAUUACCUCACGCUGCUCUUCCCCCUACUGUAUUACCUCAUGCUGCUCCUCCCCCUACUGUAUUACCUCACGCUGCACCUCCCCCUACUGUAUUACCUCCCACUCUCCCUACUGUAUUACCUCCCGCUGCACCUCCCCCUACUGUAUUACCUCACACUGCUCCUCCCCCUACUGUAUUACCUCCCGCUGCACCUCCCCCUACUGUAUUACCUCACACUGCACCUCCCCCUACUGUAUUACCUCACGCUGCUCCUCCCCCUACUGUAUUACCUCCCGCUGCACCUCCCCCUACUGUAUUACCUCCCGCUGCACCUCCCCCUACUGUAUUACCUCACGCUGCACCUCCCCCUACUGUAUUACCUCACACUGCUCCUCCCCCUACUGUAUUACCUCCCGCUGCACCUCCCCCUACUGUAUUACCUCACACUGCACCUCCCCCUACUGUAUUACCUCACGCUGCUCCUCCCUCUACUGUAUUACCUCACGCUGCUCCUCCCCCUACUGUAUUACCUCACGCUGCACCUCCCCCUACUGUAUUACCGCACGCUGCUCCUUCCCCUACUGUAUUACCUCACACUGCUCCUCCCCCUACUGUAUUACCUCCCGCUGCACCUCCCCCUACUGUAUUACCUCACGCUGCUCCUCCCCCUACUGUAUUACCUCACGCUGCACCUCCCCCUACUGUAUUACCUCACGCUGCUCCUCCCCCUACUGUAUUACCUCAUGCUGCUCCCCCACCUACUGUAUUACCUCACGCUGCUCCUCCCCGUACUGUAUUACCUCACGCUGCUCCUCCCCCUACUGUAUUACCUCAUGCUGCUCCUCCCCCUACUGUAUUACCUCACGCUGCACCUCCCCCUACUGUAUUACCUCCCACUCUCCCUACUGUAUUACCUCCCGCUGCACCUCCCCCUACUGUAUUACCUCACGCUGCUCCUCCCCCUACUGUAUUACCUCACGCUGCACCUCCCCCUACUGUAUUACCUCACGCUGCUCCUCCCCCUACUGUAUUACCUCAUGCUGCUCCCCCACCUACUGUAUUACCUCACGCUGCUCCUCCCCGUACUGUAUUACCUCACGCUGCUCCUCCCCCUACUGUAUUACCUCACACUGCUCCUCCCCCUACUGUAUUACCUCCCGCUGCACCUCCCCCUACUGUAUUACCUCACACUGCACCUCCCCCUACUGUAUUACCUCACGCUGCUCCUCCCCCUACUGUAUUACCUCCCGCUGCACCUCCCCCUACUGUAUUACCUCCCGCUGCACCUCCCCCUACUGUAUUACCUCACGCUGCACCUCCCCCUACUGUAUUACCUCACACUGCUCCUCCCCCUACUGUAUUACCUCCCGCUGCACCUCCCCCUACUGUAUUACCUCACACUGCACCUCCCCCUACUGUAUUACCUCACGCUGCUCCUCCCUCUACUGUAUUACCUCACGCUGCUCCUCCCCCUACUGUAUUACCUCACGCUGCACCUCCCCCUACUGUAUUACCGCACGCUGCUCCUUCCCCUACUGUAUUACCUCACACUGCUCCUCCCCCUACUGUAUUACCUCCCGCUGCACCUCCCCCUACUGUAUUACCUCACGCUGCUCCUCCCCCUACUGUAUUACCUCACGCUGCACCUCCCCCUACUGUAUUACCUCACGCUGCUCCUCCCCCUACUGUAUUACCUCAUGCUGCUCCCCCACCUACUGUAUUACCUCACGCUGCUCCUCCCCGUACUGUAUUACCUCACGCUGCUCCUCCCCCUACUGUAUUACCUCAUGCUGCUCCUCCCCCUACUGUAUUACCUCACGCUGCACCUCCCCCUACUGUAUUACCUCCCACUCUCCCUACUGUAUUACCUCCCGCUGCACCUCCCCCUACUGUAUUACCUCCCACUCUCCCUACUGUAUUACCUCCCGCUGCACCUCCCCCUACUGUAUUACCUCCCACUCUCCCUACUGUAUUACCUCCCGCUGCACCUCCCCCUACUGUAUUACCUCACGCUGCUCCUCCCCCUACUGUAUUACCUCACGCUGCUCCUCCCCCUACUGUAUUACCUCACGCUGCACCUCCCCCUACUGUAUUACCUCACGCUGCACCUCCCCCUACUGUAUUACCUCCCGCUGCACCUCCCCCUACUGUAUUACCUCACGCUGCUCCUCCCCCUACUGUAUUACCUCACGCUGCACCUCCCCCUACUGUAUUACCUCACGCUGCACCUCCCCCUACUGUAUUACCUCCCGCUGCACCUCCCCCUACUGUAUUACCUCACGCUGCUCCUCCCCCUACUGUAUUACCUCACGCUGCUCCUCCCCCUACUGUAUUACCUCCCGCUGCACCUCCCCCUACUGUAUUACCUCCCGCUGCACCUCCCCCUACUGUAUUACCUCACGCUGCUCCUCUCCUACUGUAUUACCUCACGCUGCACCUCCCCCUACUGUAUUACCUCCCACUCUCCCUACUGUAUUACCUCCCGCUGCUCCUCCCCCUACUGUAUUACCUCACGCUGCACCUCCCCCUACUGUAUUACCUCACACUGCUCCUCCCCCUACUGUAUUUCCUCACGCUGCACCUCCCCCUACUGUAUUACCUCCCACUCUCCCUACUGUAUUACCUCCCGCUGCACCUCCCCCUACUGUAUUACCUCCCGUUGCACCUCCCCAUUCACUGAACCUUCUUCCACAAUAGAGACGAAACAAGAUAUACACCAAACAAAUGUUAAUGUUAAUUAA
ensembl:lncRNA